rnacentral:rRNA from 1 species
GGUUAAGCGACUAAGCGUACACGGUGGAUGCCCUGGCAGUCAGAGGCGAUGAAGGGCGUGCUAAUCUGCGAUAAGCGCCGGUAAGGUGAUAUGAACCGUUAUAACCGGCGAUACCCGAAUGGGGAAACCCAGUGUGACUCGUCACACUAUCAUUAACUGAAUCCAUAGGUUAAUGAGGCGAACCGGGGGAACUGAAACAUCUAAGUACCCCGAGGAAAAGAAAUCAACCGAGAUUCCCCCAGUAGCGGCGAGCGAACGGGGAGGAGCCCAGAGCCUGAAUCAGCAUGUGUGUUAGUGGAAGCGUCUGGAAAGGCGCGCGAUACAGGGUGACAGCCCCGUACACAAAAGCGCAUGUGCUGUGAGCUCGAUGAGUAGGGCGGGACACGUGGUAUCCUGUCUGAAUAUGGGGGGACCAUCCUCCAAGGCUAAAUACUCCUGACUGACCGAUAGUGAACCAGUACCGUGAGGGAAAGGCGAAAAGAACCCCGGCGAGGGGAGUGAAAAAGAACCUGAAACCGUGUACGUACAAGCAGUGGGAGCACCCUUUGGGGUGUGACUGCGUACCUUUUGUAUAAUGGGUCAGCGACUUAUAUUCUGUAGCAAGGUUAACCGUAUAGGGGAGCCGGAGGGAAACCGAGUCUUAACCGGGCGUUAAGUUGCAGGGUAUAGACCCGAAACCCGGUGAUCUAGCCAUGGGCAGGUUGAAGGUUGGGUAACACUAACUGGAGGACCGAACCGACUAAUGUUGAAAAAUUAGCGGAUGACCUGUGGCUGGGGGUGAAAGGCCAAUCAAACCGGGAGAUAGCUGGUUCUCCCCGAAAGCUAUUUAGGUAGCGCCUCGUGAAUUCAUCUCCGGGGGUAGAGCACUGUUUCGGCUAGGGGGCCAUCCCGGCUUACCAACCCGAUGCAAACUGCGAAUACCGGAGAAUGUUAUCACGGGAGACACACGGCGGGUGCUAACGUCCGUCGUGAAGAGGGAAACAACCCAGACCGCCAGCUAAGGUCCCAAAGUCAUGGUUAAGUGGGAAACGAUGUGGGAAGGCCCAGACAGCCAGGAUGUUGGCUUAGAAGCAGCCAUCAUUUAAAGAAAGCGUAAUAGCUCACUGGUCGAGUCGGCCUGCGCGGAAGAUGUAACGGGGCUAAACCAUG